rnacentral:rRNA from 1 species
UACGUAGGGCGCGAGCGUUGUCCGGAAUUAUUGGGCGUAAGAGCUCGUAGGCGGCCUGUCGCGUCUGCUGUGAAAUCCCGGGGCUUAACCCCGGGCGUGCAGUGGAUACGGGCUCGGCUGGAGGCAGGCAGGGGAGAACGGAAUUCCCGGUGUAGCGGUGAAAUGCGCAGAUAUCGAGAGACGAGCGAGGCGGUCAGCGGGCCUGUCUGGCGAGGUGACA